rnacentral:rRNA from 1 species
AAAGAACUUUGAAGAGAGAGUUCAAUAGUACGUGAAACCGUAUAGGGGUAAACGGGUGGAAGCGCUAAAUCGGGUUGGAGAAUUCAAAUUAGCAUUAGCGCGUAAGGUGGGUGUCUAGAUGGUUAACGCUUCUAGGCUUUGCACUCACGUACAAUGUUGGUUGCACUUUCUCUAAUUCGAGCGCCUCGACAGAUUGCUAUUUACGCGCACACUAAAGGUUUUAACUAGGUACCGAGGUACGCUCGGACUAAUAAGUUAGAGCUUAUGCGUACAUGGCGAUCUUGGACUAAAAGCAGUAUCAGCGCAAGCGAGAUGGAUGUUUACUCGGCGGUAGGCGGAACUGCCUGGCAGUGCUUUCUUACUGGGCUGUCGGGUGUUUAUUCUCAUGGUACUCGAGUCAGAGGCGAACGGUCGUACGUCUACCCGACCCGUCUUGAAACACGGACCAAGGAGUCUAACAUGUGCGCGAGUCAUUGGGUUCUACGGAACCUAAAGGCGAAAUGAAAGUGAAGUCUAACUAGUUAGAUUAGGUGUGAUCCGGCGUUCGGCGCAACACCGUCCCGUCAUAAUGGUUUAACCAUUUGGCGGCGAAAGAGCGUACACGUUGGGACCCGAAAGAUGGUGAACUAUGCCUGAGCAGGAUGAAGCCAGAGGAAACUCUGGUGGAGGUCCGUCGCGGUUCUGACGUGCAAAUCGAUCGUCAAACUUGGGUAUAGGGGCGAAAGACUAA